AAAAUAAAUCAAUUCAAAAAUCAACAAAAUAAUUCGGUUCGGUUCGGUUCGAUUCAAUCAAAUUUUUUUUCUCUCCAAAAACGAACUGAAACGAAAGAGUCAAAAUUCUUAAAAUGUAAAAUUGAACUAAACCAAAUCAUCUUAAAAACCGAACCGAAUUAUAAAAUUAAGGCGGUUCAAUUUAUUCGAUUUAAAUCAAAUAGUGCCCACCUCAAAAGAUAGAUAAAUUAUUUAUUUAAUUUAUCAACAUUGAGUAUGACCAACUCAAUAAAG
rnacentral:misc_RNA from 1 species